GAACGGAMGGCGGUCUUAACAUGCAKUCGAGCGGARUAGCAAUACUUAGCGGCGWACGKSUGAGUAACACGUGGGUAAUCUUCCUCMGAAUCUGGGAUAACUUUCCGAAAGGAAAGCUAAURCCGGAUAGUUCUAUUGGAUCACAGGAUKUGAUAGAUAAAGGUUUWCUGUUCGGAGAUGAGCCCGCGGCCGAUUASCUAGUUGGUGAGGUAAUGGCUCACCAAGGCGACGAUCGGUAGCCGGCMUGAGAGGGUGUCCGGCCACAAUGGAACUGAGACACGGUCCAUACUCCUACGGGAGGCWGCAGUUAAGAAUCUUGCUCAAUGGKGGCAACCCUGAAGCAGCGACGCCGCGUGAACGAAGAAGGUCUUCGGAUUGUAAAGUUCAGUAAGCAGGGAAAAAUAARCAGCAAUGUGAUGAUGGUACCUGCYUAAAGCACCGGCUAACUACGUGCCAKCAGCCGCRGUAAUACRUAUGGUGCAAGCGUUGUUCGGAAUCAUUGGGCGUAAAGGGUGCGUAKGCGGACUUGUAAGUCARGUGUGAAAACUGCGKGCUCAASCCGUGGCCUGCACUUGAAWCUACAGGUCUGGAGUUUGGSAGAGGCAAGUGGAAUUCCAGGUGUAGCGGUGAAAUGCGUAGAUAUCKGGAKGAACACCAGUGGCGAAKGCGACUUSCUGGCCUCAUAAMUGACGYUGACGCACGAAAGCGAUCG
rnacentral:rRNA from 1 species